rnacentral:snoRNA from 1 species
UUUCCCAUUUAUUUGCUGCUGUGGUCUUUCAGUGAUAUAAGAAGUUAUACGCAUGGGAUAAAAUAACAUUGGACCAGUGUAAAUUGAGGUGGGGUAACAAUUUCAUCUCUUCUGCAUGGUCUAGACAUUG